UCUUUGGUACUUUAGCUGUAGGUAUAUUUUAAAGAGACGCCCUAAAGCUUCUGUACCAAUGUUA